rnacentral:misc_RNA from 1 species
AAGUCGUAACAAGGUUUCCGUAGGUGAACCUGCGGAAGGAUCAUUAACGAGUUAGGGUCUUCUAGGCCUGACCUCCCAACCCAUUGUUUACCACACCGUUUGUUGCUUCGGCGAGCCCGUCUUCACGGACCGCCGGGGGACCGUGACAGGUCUCCUGGCCCGCGCCCGUCGGUAGCCCUCAACCUUAAAUUCUUUAAUCAAACAUGUCUUGACUAAGUACAAAUUUUUUAAUUAAAAGCAAAACUUUCAACAACGGAUCUCUUGGUUCUG